CCUACGGGAGGCAGCAGUGGGGAAUCUUGCGCAAUGCUCGAAAGCCUGAUUCGCAACGCCGCGUGACUGAAGAAGGCCUUCGGCUUGUAAAGCUCUGUCGUCCGGGAGGAAGGUGCCGGGCCAUACGCUGGGCCUUGACGGUACCCACAAUAAGCCCCGGCUGACUACGUGCCAGCAGCCGCGG
rnacentral:rRNA from 1 species